GCUGAUGUUUGCUGGAGCCACAGCUGUAAAGCUGCUGGUCAUGAUAUCGGUUUGGUUAUCUGGUGAGAGGGAAACAUGCAGAUGAAACCAGGAGAUGUCCUUACUGAAUCAUCAGAGCUGAACAGAUGACAUUAGAAACUUAAACACUUCAUCAAGACCUGAGCCUGACUCACAAUACGGAUGUUCAGCAAGCUGUGAGGAUCUGCAUCAAGAGUCCACUGAAGGCAAAUCACCUGCUGUGUCUACUUGUUGAUUGAGCUGUGCUUGGAUUCCUGAAAGAUGUCACUGUUUCCUGCUCGUGCACUCUGGGGAGACGACGACGGGCCUUCUGGUUGACGGCGGCGUCUCAGCUGUAAAACCUCCUGGCUGAAAACCACACAAAUGCUGUUAAAUGAGUUUCGCUGAUGAAAAGGAAACUUCUUGGUUUUGUCACUGAUGUUUGCCACCUGAUGCAAAAACAGC
ensembl:lncRNA